UCAAUAAGCGGAGGAAAAGAAACUAACAAGGAUUCCCCUAGUAACGGCGAGUGAAGUGGGAUGAGCUCAAAUUUGUAAUCUGGCGGUCUCUGGCCGUCCGAGUUGUAGUCUGGAGAAGCGUGUUCGGUGCCAGACCGCGUUCAAGUCCCUUGGAACAGGGCGUCGUAGAGGGUGAGAAUCCCGUCUGUGACGCGGACUACUGGUGCUCUGUGAUGCGCUCUCGAAGAGUCGAGUUGUUUGGGAAUGCAGCUCAAAAGGGGUGGUAAAUUCCAUCUAAAGCUAAAUACGGGCGAAAGACCGAUAGCGAACAAGUACCGUGAGGGAAAGAUGAAAAGGACUUUGGAAAGAGAGUUAAAGAGUACGUGAAAUUGUUGAAAGGGAAACGCUUCAAGUCAGUUGCGUCUUCCGUAGGAGAUUCAGCCGGGGGUUUACGGACACCCGGUCUACUUCUCUCGGUGUGACCUGCCAGCAUGGAUUUCUACCGUCGGAGAAAGGCUUUGGGAAUGUGGCACCUUUCGGGGUGUGUUAUAGCCCUCUGUUCUUAUACGACGGUGGGGAUCGAGGACCGCAGCGUGCCCCUUCAAUGGGGGCCGGGGUACGCCCACGUAACGCGCUUAGGAUGCCUGGCAUAAUGGCUU
rnacentral:rRNA from 1 species